rnacentral:rRNA from 1 species
UGAGUAGGCGGUUGCAUAUGUCAGAUGUAAAAGGCACAGGCUUAACUUGUGUUAGCAUUUGAAACUGUGCGACUUGAGUGCAGGAGAGGUAAGUGGAAUUCCUAGUGUAGCGGUGAAAUGCGUAGAUAUUAGGAGGAACACCAGUGGCGAAGGCGACUUACUGGACUGUAACUGACGCUGAGUCACGAAAGCGUGGGUAGCAAACAU